UUUUACUUGACCUUUCUUCUGCUAAUUAGUUGCCUUCUUGAAAUGCAUUAUGGGUAAUCUAUCUUGGGCGAUCCAGCUUCCCACUUCCCGCUCCGGUAAUCACUCUAAAUGUAUGAAUGAUUUAUUCAGUGGAGCCAUUUCUCACAAUCUUAAAAUACACAAACCAUAAAAUACAGCCCAAUUAUUACGUGGCUGCAGCAGGCCCUGGGCAGGUCCACGAGCGUGUGCGAUGGAUUCGCAGUGACAUUCGCAGAACGCGAAGAGCUACAUUUGACGAGCAAAACAAGGCGAAAGCAGGGAGGAACUCGCAGCUGUCUCGCGACGUGGAUCACGCGGAUGAGUGCAGUAAUGGAUGGUGUUGAGGUUCGCGUGUGAGCUCCCAUGCUGUGUUAAAUGCUGUCUGUACGCUGGUGUGAAUACGCUGCACAUGAGGUUUUCUGACUCCUUGCAUGCAUAAUUGCUGUGUGCCGGGCUUUUCAGGUGGUGAAGAAAGAACUGCAACCAAGCAAGCGCUGACUACAUGCGCAUUAACAGGGCACUUUAGCAAACUACUGAACAUUUCCUGCGCUCAGAAACACAUUACACACAGGGUGCGGUGUAGCCAGCAUUUAAACUUUAGACAUUUGUCUGACGUAUAUGUUAACAAGACAACCAUUAGUAAGUGCUAUUUGUCAUACAGAUUGUGUGUGAGGGGAGUGGUAUAUCUGUGAAGGAUGUGUGUGUGUGUGCGUGUGUGUGCGUGUGUGUGUGUGUGUGUGUGUGUGUGUGUGUGUGUGUGUGUGUGUGUGUGUUUGUGUGUCUCUGUGUGUGUGUGUGUGUGUGUGUGUGUGUGUGUGUGGGUGUGUGUGGGUGUGUGUGUGUGUGUGUGUGUGUGUGUGUGUGUGUGUGUGUGUGGGUGUGUGUGUGUGUGUGCGCGUGUAUGUAUGUAUGUAUGUAUGUGUUUGAACCACAGUAUUAAUGCAGUGGUAUACUGUAAUAUUUUCUUUAUUUGGCAUUCCUACUUUCAUUUCCUUUAUGAGUCUAUCGUUUGUGCUAAAAAAUGAAUUAGCUAUUUUUUGGAUGUUUGUAUGUCAGCUUUAAUGGAGUUGCACAGCUUAUGUGGUUUCUCUCUCUCUCUCUCUCUCUCUCUCUCUCUCUCUCUCUCUCUCUCUCUCUCUCUUUCUCUCUCUCUGUAUCUUUAUUUCUGAGUUAGCUGCAGCAGAAGCUGUUUUGCCCUCCUGCUGUGCAGCCAGUGUCUUUUCACAACAAAGAGCCAUAUCACAUGGAGCAGUAUGUGUAGUACAACAGUGUUAUGCCCAGCUACAGUGACUACAGAUCUGACAAGAACACUAAGAUUAAUUUUCACAAGCUUUUGUGUCAGUUUAGAAUAAGUGUAACCUCUAAAAUGAAUUCUCCAGUGUGUUUUCAAGAUUCUUUUGCAGAACUUUAUUAUGAUAUACACAAGCUCCUUGGUACACUGAAAGUGUUAGUUUGCUUGUUCUCACAGAUGCGAAAUAAACAGGAUACAAUAAUAACAAAUCAACAAAUAUGAAGACCAAGGUUUAAAAAUUGUACAACACUGUAUAUUGUCCAGGAUUAGAGCUAAAGUUAUUUUUUAAAUGUCAAAAAAUGGGAAAUAUAAAAACUAUUAGACAUCAAUAAGAGUGGUGGUAAAAGAAAAGGAAAGAUAUACAGUAAAUAUACUUUGGUCAUAUUUACAUGAGAAGAUGCUGUUGGAUCAGUACAUUACUUCUGCAAGAUUAUUUGCCCAAGAUAACCUUUCAACAUCUCUAUCCACUGCAUCUGUGACAUUACCAUGAACAAGAGAUGUGAGACAUUCCUUGCCUGUAAUGAGAAAUGAAAGAAACGUGUUUACUCAAACUCCCCUACAGUAACAGUCUAAAGCCAUUCAAAUAAAUGUUUAUGUAAAACACAAUUUUUUUUUUUGUAAAAUGUUUGUAUAAAGAACUUUUUAUGAAGUAAUUAAGAUGUAAAUGACACUCCUUUUUUUCCAGAAGAAUUAAUGUGUGGCUAAUUGUUACUGAUGUAAACAGAUUCUCUGUAAUGGGGUCUGGAUACUGUGAAAUCUCAGCUCCAGUGUUGUGUGUAUAUGUAAGGUUGUCUGGGAAACGCCAAUGGAUGUCGCAGUGGCUGAAUUCUAGUAAACAGCCACAAAUAAGUUUUUAUUUUCAAUCACAAAUUUGAUUCUGGCUAAAAUAUACUUUAACAUCUUAACUUUAAGAAACAAAAAUUUUGUGUUGCAUUAGUGUUGCAAAAUGACAUGGAAAUAUUGUAUUGACUUUUUCUUGCCUAAGCUCAUGGCAAACUUUCCUGUCAGGCCAGUUUAAAACGCUGGUAUAAAAAAUGAUCUUCCUCAAAAUGUCUAAAACAUUGCUAGCUAAGUGUGAUUUCCUCACACAGUGAAUGUUGGAUAGCAAAAAAACACAAAAAAACACACAAAAAAAACCAGUCAGUUUGUAAUUAGAUACAACAUGGAUUGUCUGAAGUGUGCAAUUCUAUUCACACCCCAGUUAUUUGUCAGUGAUUGCAAUUUUUAAGUUAUGAAUGAACAAAACAUUAUUCUUUUUACAUAUGUAUAGUAACAGUUAAUGUUAUGAAACUUCAACAAGGCAAGUUAGUCCCUGUUGUCACUUAUGUUUUACCAGUUAUAAACAGUCACUGCCUCACUCACUCUCUUGAAGUAAGAGCAAAAGUCAAAUGAAAUGCAGCUUGUAAUGUGACUGAUACACUGUGGAAAUAAAGUCUGGAAAACUCUUUUGUCUCCUGAAGAGCCCCCUAAAACUCUCUGUGCUGACCCCUGAGAUGCCUCCAAUAUAUAUUAAAUAAAUGUGUACUAACAGAAAGAAAGGUUCACCACAUCACCACAGUGGGAAGUACUUCAGCACUGGGAAGGCUUCACCACAGUGGGAAGUACUCUCCGAGCCAUGCAGUUAGAGAAAAUGAACCCACACUUUCUGACCAAUCAGAUUAGAAAAUUCAACCUCACUACGGUAUAAAAUGCUUUAACUUAUAAUGCUUGUGGUUGGGAAAUCUGCACAAAAGAACAUUUUAGUUCAGAAGUAUGUAAUUUUUAGAACUAUAUGUAAUAGAUCAUGUCAACAUUCCACAGAUGGCAAAGUUCACUGCCAUACAUUUUCCAUGCUUAUUGACCGAAUCCAGCAACUGCUCUUAGAUUAUUAUUAUUUUUAAAUCUAUAAGUGAUUUUUGAGUAAAAUGUUUUGUUCUCAGUACAGAAAAACAUGUACAUUUUGUCUCACACAUAAGCUAGAGAUACAGUGGAUAGAGGUUAAGAUGAAAGGUGCUGCAGUAUCCCUUUAAAUUAUUGAAAUAGUAGAUAUUAGGAUAAUAUAUAUAUAUAUAU
ensembl:lncRNA